rnacentral:rRNA from 1 species
GUACUCAGUAAUGAUCCCUCCGCUGGUUCACCAACGGAGA